rnacentral:rRNA from 1 species
AGAUACCCUGGUAGUCCACGCUGUAAACGAUGUCGAUUUGGAGGUUGUGCCCUUGAGGCGUGGCUUCCGGAGCUAACGCGUUAAAUCGACCGCCUGGGGAGUACGGCCGCAAGGUUAAAACUCAAAUGAAUUGACGGGGGCCCGCACAAGCGGUGGAGCAUGUGGUUUAAUUCGAUGCAACGCGAAGAACCUUACCUACUCUUGACAUCCAGAGAACUUAGCAGAGAUGCUUUGGUGCCUUCGGGAACUCUGAGACAGGUGCUGCAUGGCUGUCGUCAGCUCGUGUUGUGAAAUGUUGGGUUAAGUCCCGCAACGAGCGCAACCCUUAUCCUUUGUUGCCAGCGGUUCGGCCGGGAACUCAAAGGAGACUGCCAGUGAUAAACUGGAGGAGGGUGGGGAUGACGUCAAGUCAUCAUGGCCCUUACGAGUAGGGCUACACACGUGCUACAAUGGCAUAUACAAAGAGAAGCGACCUCGCGAGAGCAAGCGGACCUCAUAAAGUAUGUCGUAGUCCGGAUUGGAGUCUGCAACUCGACUCCAUGAAGUCGGAAUCGCUAGUAAUCGUAGAUCAGAAUGCUACGGUGAAUACGUUCCCGGGCCUUGUACACACCGCCCGUCACACCGUGGGAGUGGGUUGCAAAAGAAGUAGGUAGCUUAACCUUCGGGAGGGCGCUUACCACUUUGUGAUUCAUGACUGGGG